AUUAUAGAUGAGGAUGUAUCUUUAUUUUAACAUACAAAGAUGUUUAGUUAUUCAUUUAGGCAUUUCAUAAUGCACAAAUUAGUACUUCUCGGAAUUACUCUAAAGUACUGGGCAGAAAAAUAUAUGCCAAACCUGAGUAAAUAUUUAUAAAAAAUAUAUUAGCAACAGCAUUACAGCAAUCAAUAGCAUACAUUAAACAAAUCUGAGAUGAAACUAGAUGACAUUUUAGCUUGUCUUUGACAGUUAUCAAGUCAAGAGGGUUACAGUAGUUGUGAAUGGCUCCAACCAAGGCAUUGUGGCUUGGUCAACAUACUGUAUAUGGGCAUUAAUCACAAACAAGCACUGCAAGAUGCAAAACAGCCAUAGGGAGAGUUGAAUUAUAGCUCUAGGCCUUUCAUGUUGCAAUUGACAUCUUUAAGAGUAUUCAGUGUUGCAGAAAUGAGUAGGAAGUCCAGGUAUAUUUGUUUAGGAAAAGGGCUCUGGCUAGAGCCUUUCCCCUGAAUAAAUGAACCUGGACUUCCUACUCAUUUUUGCAACAUUGUAAGCUCCUGAAGAUGUGUUGAGCUAUCAUUCAACUCCCCCUGUGGUUGUUUUGCAUACUGUGUAUGUAUGGAGAACAGACUACGUACAACCAUCUUCCUAAGAGAAGAAAGUUGCCAAUAGAGAUAGGUCAGUAAAGAUAAAGAAGAUGCAUGAAAAUAGCAUAAAUGAGCUCACAUUGAGUAAGAGAAAUUUAAAUGACUACUGUAUAUUUCAAUAUCUGUUCUAUUUUCUCCAGAUGAGUGAGCUCAUUGUGCCAUUGACCAGCUUGUUUACACUUUUGUGCAUCAAUAUGUCAGCAUGUGAAUACAGGAUAGUCAUUGAAUUUCUCUUGCCAGAAAGUCAUCGUAACUCACAUAUAAUACAGGGUGUUUGUGGUUUAUGAGGACACAGGUUACAAACAAGGUCUUAAGGACAUACAGUAACACUAAGAAAAAGUCUGCGUGAAUGCCAGUUUGCAGUUAUUUUGAACACUAUUAUCUUUGGUACUGUACUAAAAUUUUCUCUAGUACACUAGGUUUGUGAUUUUAAAUGACUUGUUAGUACCUAAGUUAUAAUGCCAGAAAUGCAAGUCAUUCAUAAGUUGGAAACUGAAGUUUUUGGGUUGGCUGCUUCCUGAUAAGGUAGCUUUUGUUUGGAUUGCAAUCAAAAUAAUUUUGAAUUUACUUUUUCAAAGCAAGGAAAAGUGGGGACUACAAUUUGACAUACCUAGGUGGCCAAGAUAAUGUGAACACAAAAUUUUAUGUAAAUGUGGAAAAUGAACAUAUGAGGAGACACUUAUGCUAUUGUAUCUUUACAAAAGUUAGCUGUCAUUUUCUUUUUGUACAGUUGUCUCAUUUGUCUAAAUUAUAGCAGUUCCAUGUGUUUACCAUUAUUGCAUCUCUGUUACUUCUUCCUCCAUUGGUGUACUAUUAAUCAUUGCCAUUGUUCAUCUAUUAACACUUCCCAUAGUGGUUAUUAAUUAGAUUUUCAAAAAUGUGUUGCAGAAGUCUUUGUUUUUUAAACCAUUGAACAUGUGGUGGUAUGAACAUUAUUGAUGUUUAUAUUUAAAGUGAAGAUUUGUGACAGAAAAAUUUCUUAAAUACAAAUAAAUGUAUAGCAUCUUGCUUUAGUAACACAGAUGAUUCCCAACUUAAGAACUGCUGAGCUACUAACCUCUACUUACAAAAAAGUCCAUUAGUAACUGAUUGUUUUGCAAAUGCUGAUCCUUAAUCUGUAUACACGACCAUCCUUUUGUAGUGUUUUCUUUGAACAAAUAAGUUCCAUGAAACUCACCAAAUUGUGUAAUGAAGAGUAAAAAGGCACAAUACCAUGAUUGAAACAAUAAGUUGUAGGGACAGGCCUGCCAUUUUUUGUUCCAUGUUAUAAAUAACUUGUUUGCAGGUUGAAGCACAGGCAAUGCAACUUAUUGGUUAUUUAUCCUUGCACUCACAACUUUAACAGGCUGCUAUUUUUUUAUUAUUUCAUUUAUGAAGCAGCUGCAAAGUAUAUACAGUGGAACCUUGGUUUUUGUCAUUAAUUUGUUCCAGAAAGUCUGAAGCAAUAUUUCCCAUAAAUAAUGAAAAUCCAAUUAAUCUGUUCCAGACACCCAAAAGUAUUAACAAAAAGAUACAUUUUAUAGAGAAUAUAGUUUUACAUACAGAAAACAAUGAGAAAUAAAUAUAAAGGACUAAUGAACAUUUAACAUCACUUUUACCUUUAUUGAAGACUCUUGUUGGUGUAUGGAAGAUGGCAAGGAGGGUAGAAGUUAUCUCUACCACCCUGAAACAAAGCCAGACUGACUCAGAAUGCGUGGGAUGCCACAUUUGGUAUGGCGGACCAUUGUCAACUCAAUGAAAACCGAGGUGAUGAACAAAAACUGGGACAAAAUUUUGACGAAAAAAGUCGUUGAAAACCGAGGUUCCACUGUACUGUACACUAUGCAAAGAAUCCUCAGCCUUUAAACGGAUUGCAUUGCAGGUGUUCCUACUUUUAAGUUUUCAAAAUGAAAUGAAUUUUUCUGUAGAAAAUGGCAGUACUGGAUGGUUCUUUUACACGUACAGUGGACCCCCGCAUAGCGAACGCCUUGCAUAGCGAACAUUCCGCAUAGCGAACGCUUUGAUCGCUAAAAUUUUGCCCCGCAUAGUAGACAAAAACCCGCUCAGCGAACUUCGUCCGAGACGCGUCCAAUGUGCGGCCUCAGCCAGCCUCACAUGUGCCGCCUGUCCCAUUGUUUACCAGCUAGCCUCCGCGGUAACAUUCAAGCAUACACUCGGAAUAUUUCGUAUUAUUACAGUGUUUUCGGUUCUGUUUGUUGAAAAUAAGUGACCAUGGGCCCCAAGAAAGCUUCUAGUGCCAACCCUGUGGUAAAAAGGGUGAGAAUUAGUAUGGAAAUUAAGAAAGAUUUUGAAGGGUUUGGGGCUAACCCUGAGAAGCCUAUGCCAGUUGUGGAAUCCAUUGUGCCUACUUCAAAAAUUAAGGAAAUGUGUGCACAGUGGGUUGAACUGCAAACCUUUAUGGAUGAAAAUCACCCUGACACAGCUGUUGCAAGGCGUGCUGGUGACUAUUUCAAUGACAAUGUUAUGGCCCAUUUUAGACAAAUCGUAAAGGAACGGGAGGUACAGAGCUCUAUGGACAGAAAGAAGUCCAGUGACUCUGAAGCUGGUCCUAGUGGCAUUAAAAGAAGAAGGGAAGUAACCCCGGAAAAGGACUUGCCUCCUCAAGUGUUAAUGGAAGGGGAUUCCCCUUCUAAACACUAACACUCUCUCUCCCCUCCUCCCAUCCCAUCAAUCAUCACCAGAUCUUCAAUAAACGUAAGUGUCAUGUAAUUGUGCAUGCCUUUUUCAGUUUGUGUGUACUAAAAUUAACAUUUUUUUGUGGUAAAAAAUUUUUUUUUUCAUACUUUUGGGUGUCUUGCACGGAUUAAUUUUAUUUCCAUUAUUUCUUAUGGGGAAAAUUAAUUCGCAUAGCGAACAUUUCGCAUAACGACCAGCCCUCUUGCACGGAUUAAGUUCGCUAUGCGGGGGUCCACUGUACUGCGCUGUAUAGCCCUUGUGGUUUAGCGCUUCUUUUUGAUUAUAAUAAUAAUUUUACAUGUACUCAUAAUUGUAAAUUAGCAUUCACAAAGCAAUUUUUUGUAAGGUAGAUAUUGGUAACUGAUGUUCAUAAGUUAGGCUCCUCUGAAUAAACUAUGAUUUCUCAAUGUAAUAUCUGUUUUAUUUCUUAAUGGAAGUACUGUAGUUAUGCACUAAAUUUAGCAAGUUGUUUAUUAAUAGGUGCAUAUAUAGAUGUAUGAAUACUUUAAAAUUCCUAGACAGUAACAGUAAAGUUUAAUGGCAAUAGUUUCCUGAAAGUUUUAUUACAUGCAUCUAGGCCUCAGAGAUUUUCAUGAGGAAGCAUUAAACAGACAGGAGUCAUUCAGUGUUUGGAGAAUUGGAACAAUCAUAUUUCAUACAAGAAAGUGCUGGAGUGGGUUUAAUUCCAGGAAUCAAAAGUCUUGAAUGAUGUAAAAAGAGAUACUUCAGUUUGUGUUUGCUGUGAGGUGGUAGAGAGGUAUUUAAAUUAUCUUCUCAUGUUGCACAAUUUU